UAAUAUUUUAAUCUAUAGAUUUAUUAAUCUAGAGAAUUUGCAUAGAGGGAAAAAUUAAGAACAUAUCACUGAAAAUGCAUAAUUUUCUUCAUAUUCUUAAAUAUUACCUCUUAGAAGUAUAACCCAAUUCUUUUCAAACCAUGUGCUAAUCAACAUUUUUUAGUAACUAUCUAGAGAUUGGGAAUGUUCAAGCUUCUAGGUGUUGUUAGAUUGCAGCUUCUAUCAUUCUAGUCAUUUUAGUCUAUGGUUAGGGAUGAUAGUAACCUGACAUUCGAUGCACCAUAUAUUAUAUUUUGUGGUCUGUGCCGAAAUUGAUUUUGAACCUAUUUAUGUAAGGGCACAGGUAAGCAAUUUGUUCUUCCCCAUCCUUAUUAGUGUGCUAGUUUGUUCUCUUUUUAUAUUAUUGUGGUAGCUGUUUUUUUUUUAUAAAAAAAAACA